rnacentral:hammerhead_ribozyme from 11 species
AAUUGGUUGGGAAUUGGAGUCGUUCCCCUGAUGAGCCCAUGGCAGGACGAAACGAGUC